GUAGGUGGCAAGCGUUGUCCGGAAUUAUUGGGCGUAAAGCGCGCGCAGGCGGUCCUUUAAGUCUGAUGUGAAAGCCCACGGGCUCAACCGUGGAGGGUCAUUGGAAACUGGGGGACUUGAGUACAGAAGAGGAAAGCGGAAUUCCAAGUGUAGCGGUGAAAUGCGUAGAGAUUUGGAGGAACACCAGUGGCGAGGGCGGCUUUCUGGUCUGUAACUGACGCUGAGGCGCGAAAGCGUGGGGAGCAAACAGGAUUAGAUACCCUGGUAGUCCACGCCGUAAACGAUGAGUGCUAAGUGUUAGGGGGUUUCCGCCCCUUAGUGCUGCAGCUAACGCAUUAAGCACUCCGCCUGGGGAGUACGGCCGCAAAGGCUGA
rnacentral:rRNA from 1 species